GAGCCGCUGGGGAUUCGUCCCAGGCGAGCGCCCGCCAGAGUUAAACCAAACUCUUGUUAUUUAACCGGUCGUCUGAGUUAAAAUUUUGAAUAAAUCAAAACUUUCAACAACGGAUCUCUUGGUUCUCGCAUCG
rnacentral:misc_RNA from 1 species